rnacentral:rRNA from 1 species
GGCCUAACACAUGCAAGUCGAGCGGUAACAGGAAAGUGCUUGCACUUUUGCUGACGAGCGGCGGACGGGUGAGUAAUGUCUGGGGAUCUGCCCGAGGGCGGGGGAUAACCACUGGAAACGGUGGCUAAUACCGCAUAAUGUCGCGAGACCAAAGUGGGGGACCUGAAAGGGCCUCACGCCCUUGGAUGAACCCAGAUGGGAUUAGCUAGUCGGUAGGGUAAUGGCCUACCGAGGCGACGAUCCCUAGCUGGUCUGAGAGGAUGACCAGCCACACUGGGACUGAGACACGGCCCAGACUCCUACGGGAGGCAACAGUGGGGAAUAUUGCACAAUGGGCGCAAGCCUGAUGCAUCCAUCCCGCGUGUAUGAAGAAGGCCUUCGGGUUGUAAAGUACUUUCAGCGGGGAGGAAGGGUAUGGCCUGAAGAGGGCGAUAGCUUGACGUUACCCGCAGAAGAAGCACCGGCUAAC